CAGCUCUCCGAGUGGUAGGGGUGAUUAUUGGGCUUAAAGCGUCCGUAGCCGGCCUGGCAAGUCUUCCGUUAAAUCCAGCAACCUAAUUGUUGGGCUGCGGGGGAUACUGUUAGGCUUGGGGGCGGGAGAGGCCGACGGUAUUCUCGGGGUAGGGGUGAAAUCUUAUAAUCCCGAGAGGACCACCAGUGGCGAAGGCUGUCGGCUAGCACGCGCCUGACGGUGAGGGACGAAAGCUGGGGGAGCGAACCGGAUUAGAUACCCGGGUAGUCCCUGCUGUAAACGAUGCGAGCUAGGUGUUGGGGCGGCUACGAGCCGCUUCAGUGCCGCAGCGAAGGCGUUAAGCUCGCCGCCUGGGGAGUACGGCCGCAAGGCUGAAACUUAAAGGAAUUGGCGGGGGAGCACCACAAGGCGUGAAGCUUGCGGUUCAAUUGGAGUCAACGCCGGGAACCUUACCGGGGGCGACAGCAGGAUGAAGGCCAGGUUGAUGGUCUUGCUGGACGAGCUGAGAGGAGGCGCAUGGCCGUCGUCAGUUCGUGCCGUGAGGUGUCCUCUUAAGUGAGGUAACGAUCGAGACCCGCGCCCCUUGUUGCUAACAGACUCCAUCGGGGUCUGUGCACACUAGGGGACCGCCGUCGAUAAGACGGAGGAAGGAGCGGGCCACGGCAGGUCAGUAUGCCCCGAAUCCCCCGGGCCACACGCGAGCUGCAAUGGCAGGGACAAUGGGUGUCGACUCCGAAAGGAGGAGGUAAUCUCUAAACCCUGCCUCAGUUGGGAUCGAGGGCUGAAACCCGUCCUCGUGAAUAUGGAAUGCCUAGUAAUCGCGCGUCAUCAUCGCGCGGUGAAUACGUCCCCGCUCCUU
rnacentral:rRNA from 1 species